rnacentral:rRNA from 1 species
GAUGAACGCUGGCGGCGUGCCUAAUACAUGCAAGUCGAGCGAACGGACGAGAAGCUUGCUUCUCUGAUGUUAGCGGCGGACGGGUGAGUAACACGUGGAUAACCUACCUAUAAGACUGGGAUAACUUCGGGAAACCGGAGCUAAUACCGGAUAAUAUUUUGAACCGCAUGGUUCAAAAGUGAAAGACGGUCUUGCUGUCACUUAUAGAUGGAUCCGCCCUGCAUUAGCUAGUUGGUAAGGUAACGGCUUACCAAGGCAACGAUGCAUAGCCGACCUGAGAGGGUGAUCGGCCACUGGAACUGAGACACGGUCCAGACUCCGACGGGAGGCAGCAGUAGGGAAUCUUCCGCAAUGGGCGAAAGCCUGACGGUGCAACGCCGCGUGAGUGAUGAAGGUCUUCGGAUCGUAAAACUCUGUUAUUAGGGAAGAACAUAUGUGUAAGUAACUGUGCACAUCUUGACGGUACCUAAUCAGAAAGCCACGGCUAACUACGUG